UACGGAGGGUGCAAGCGUUAUCCGGAUUUACUGGGUUUAAAGGGUGUGUAGGCGGCCACUUAAGUCCUGCGUGAAAUCUUGCGGCUCAACCGCAAGCGGUCGUGGGAAACUGGGUGGCUAGAGUGCGGGAGAGGAGAGUGGAAUUCCUGGUGUAGCGGUGGAAUGCGCAGAUAUCAGGAAGAACACCCGUGGCGAAGGCGGCUCUCUGGAACGCAACUGACGCUGAGACGCGAAAGCGUGGGGAGCAAACAGG
rnacentral:rRNA from 1 species